rnacentral:lncRNA from 1 species
GUCUAACAACCCUUUGUAUCAGGCCUAUCCAGCUUUGGAGGCUGCGUUCUGGAGAUCUUUGAACACAGCUGGACUCUCAGGUUCACCAGACAACCAGUGCCCUCUAAGUUACCGCCACCUAGGCCACUGGAAAGGAAGAGACCGCUGAUUGCCGUGACAACUAUCUAAAUUGAACCAGAAACAUGGAAGUCUUGUAUUUGAAUGUAAAGCUAUACCAGUUCACCCAUUUCACAAACCUGUUGAGCACUUUCCCAGGUGUUUUGAGGUUUACAAAGAUAAAAGACAGUGUCUCUGACCUUAACAAUCUGGCGGAUUUCAAAUUCUCUCACGAAGCCUAUCUAAUUUAAUCCUCGAGUUAAGACCAUUCUCCGUGGUGAGAGUACGGGUGAUGGGACAUAUUCCUGUCUGCUGAACCAACUGAAGCUCUGAAGGGCAACCUGAUUCACGUAGUAUCACAUCCAGUGAGGGGAAAUGCUAGAAGCACAUUCAGAGACUCCAUUUCAGUCAUCUUUAACAUGACUCUGCCCUGAUUUUGAGUCCAAGGGAUUCCUUCAGAAAAGAACUUAGAAGCGAUUUGGUCUAUCAGCCAACAUGUGGGAACAAUUGGAGUUUGGAGAACCUUUUUCUACAGUGAUACAAUAGCGGAUGUUGUCCAACUUCACACCUUGCAAGUAUGGUGCUGCCUACGCAUUGCCUGAGAGGAUAUAAUCAUCACCACGGUAUGGAAGGAGAUCAUUCUUUGGAGUGGACAGUUCGCGAUUCAAACACCAACCCCUCACAGCUCAAAUAUGACAUUAAUUUCCACGUGCCUCCAUUUUCUGAGAAGUUCUGAUGACCUACUUCGUCGAACCGGUAGAAGAGAUGAAGCCACCUCAAGGUUCUCCAACCAACCCAAGGAUGAGCUAUGGUUGGGUCAGAGAAAUGCCCCUGGACCAAUCAGAAGGUCACCUGUGUCCAAAGAGCAGCUGUUUGCUCUUAAGGGAAGGUUGGAUACUGCAUCAGACGUACCAGCUAUAAAUACAAAUAUCUAGAAAAUAGAAGUAUAGAGGAAAACAAUUAAAAAGCCUUUGUAAUUCUACCACCCAGAGAUAACUGCCAUAAAUAGUUAAGUACAUUUCAUUCAAAUUUCAGUAUACGCAUGUAUAUACUUAAUAUUGUUUACCAAUUUUGGAUACAGUGAUAUUAUCUUC